rnacentral:misc_RNA from 1 species
GGAAAAUACGAGUUGCUCGCUUCACAUUUUAGUACUAAACUGGAACCGGCUUCUCAGGAGGAGUUCAAACCGGUGAUUUUCUCAGCUGUCCAUCAAUCUAGUCUCAGUCAUGCUGGCUGCUAGACUUUUCGGGAGGACAUUCUUGGCGGCGGCCAAAUCAGAGAGUUCAGCCGCUCCAGCUGCUGCUAGAACCCUUAAUCCACUUGAGCAGUUUUUUGAAGUGGAUAGAACCCCGGAGGAUGAUAAGCCUGUCGUCUAUGGUCGAGGUUGGAAGGCUUCUGAAUUGCGUCUGAAGUCCUGGGAUGAUCUUCAGAAGUUAUGGUAUGUUCUUCUGAAGGAGAAGAACAUGUUGAUGACUCAACGUCAGAUGCUCAAUGCUCAGAACCUGCGUUUUCCUAAUCCAGAGCGUAUUUCCAAGGUAAGGAAGUCGAUGUGCCGAAUCAAGCAUGUUCUUACUGAGAGAGCCAUUGAUGAAGCAGAUCCAAGGAGGUCAACUGAGAUGAAGAGGAUGAUAAAUGCUCUAUAAUUUUCACACUCAUCGGUAGUAGUGUUUAUAUGCCCUUAUAAUGAGUACUUGGAUUUACCUCCUCGUCUAUUAGCUCCACAUGUAGGAAACUUACCUCCUCGUCUAUUAGCUCCACAUGUAGGAAACUUACUUUUCUUGUGUGUUGUGGUCAUGAAAUGGCAAAUUUUAUCUAUCUACACAACAUUCCUGACAUCCAUGAUGUCAAACAAACUCUAUGAACUAGUUUAUUAGGAUGAAAUGGAGAUGGCAAUUCUGUUUAAAAGAUUUGCUCAUGCUGAAAAUAAAAACCAAACUCAGUGUUUAUGCACUCGUGUUGGUCGAUU